UACGUAGGGUGCGAGCGUUGUCCGGAAUUAUUGGGCGUAAAGAGCUUGUAGGCGGUUUGUCGCGUCUGCUGUGAAAAUCCGGGGCUCAACCCCGGACUUGCAGUGGGUACGGGCAGACUAGAGUGUGGUAGGGGAGACUGGAAUUCCUGGUGUAGUGGUGAAAUGCGCAGAUAUCAGGAGGAACACCGAUGGCGAAGGCAGGUCUCUGGGCCACUACUGACGCUGAGAAGCGAAAGCAUGGGGAGCGAACAGGAUUAGAUA
rnacentral:rRNA from 1 species